UGGGGAAUUUUGGACAAUGGGCGCAAGCCUGAUCCAGCCAUGCCGCGUGCGGGAAGAAGGCCUUCGGGUUGUAAACCGCUUUUGUCAGGGAAGAAAUCUUCUGAGUUAAUACCUCGGGAGGAUGACGGUACCUGAAGAAUAAGCACCGGCUAACUACGUGCCAGCAGCCGCGGUAAUACGUAGGGUGCAAGCGUUAAUCGGAAUUACUGGGCGUAAAGCGUGCGCAGGCGGUUUUGUAAGACAGAGGUGAAAUCCCCGGGCUCAACCUGGGAACUGCCUUUGUGACUGCAAGGCUUGAGUGCGGCAGAGGGGGAUGGAAUUCCGCGUGUAGCAGUGAAAUGCGUAGAUAUGCGGAGGAACACCGAUGGCGAAGGCAAUCCCCUGGGCCUGCACUGACGCUCAUGCACGAAAGCGUGGGGAGCAAACAGGAUUAGAUAGCCCUGGUAGUCCACGCCCUAAACGAUGUCAACUGGUUGUUGGGAAGGUUCCUUCUCAGUAACGUAGCUAACGCGUGAAGUUGACCGCCUGGGGAGUACGGCCGCAA
rnacentral:rRNA from 1 species